UACGGGGGGGCAAGCGUUGUUCGGAAUUACUGGGCGUAAAGGGCUUGUAGGUGGCCAACUAAGUCACACGUGAAAUCCCCAGGCUUAACCUGGGAACUGCGUGUGAUACUGGAUGGCUUGAAUCCGGGAGAGGGAUGCGGAAUUCCAGGUGUAGCGUGAAUGACGUAGAUAUCUGGAGGAACACCGGUGGCGAAGGCGGCGAUCCUGGACCGGUAUUGACACUGAAAAGCGAAAGCCAGGGGAGACAAACGGG
rnacentral:rRNA from 1 species